UACGAACCGAGCGAACGUUGUUCGGAAUCACUGGGCUUAAAGGGCGCGUAGGCGGGUGCUCAAGUCUGUGGUGAAAUCCUCCGGCUCAACCGGAGAACUGCCAUGGAUACUGGGUGCCUCGAGGGUGGUAGGGGUAUGCGGAACUAUCGGUGGAGCGGUGAAAUGCGUUGAUAUCGAUAGGAACUCCGGUGGCGAAGGCGGCAUACUGGACCACUUCUGACGCUGAGGCGCGAAAGCCAGGGGAGCGAACGGG
rnacentral:rRNA from 1 species